GUCCUCCACGGACAGGCAGAGUAAGGCUGCCCUCCCGGGGCGGCCCCCCCACGAGGCCUGGAGGAGCCGAAUCCUGAGUGGGAACGACGCUGGUGCCACCACUGCUGCAGGCCGGGGGUGUGCAGGCCUCUGGGGACAGGCCCCCAUCAGGACCACCAGGCAGCCAGCUGGGGAGACACGAAGAAGGGCUGGCCAGGGCCUGGGUGCGCCAGAAUGAACCAAGUCAAAUGGGAUCUGCACGCUCUAGAGCUCUCCUGAGCGCCCUCCUCCAAAGAUCUGGGCCCCUGCAGCCAACCUACUGAAGGUGGGCGUCCAGGUUCACCUCACCUGGGUGUUUCCCACCGGCUGCCGGGCACACACGUGCUCCUGAGCCCAGAUCACCUGAGCCUCACUUCUGCUCCACCCGUGCCCACAUCCUGGCUCCAGAAGCUCCAAGCUUGACCCCAGAGGAGAAAUAGCACUUGAGGGGCAAAUACUGCUCUCCCCCGAGAGCUCAGCCCAGACCUUGGCGUGAGGGAUCUUUCCAGAGAGCCUGGCUCAUCUGGGAGAAGGCUGUCUCUCCUCGUCCAGGUAGGAAUAAGGAGGAAAUACCCAGCUGGUCCCUCGUAAACCCAGGCCCCGCAGGGCUAUCUCCCCCAAGCAUUUCACCAGCCAACAGGGGGAAGUGGUCCUUUCCAGGACAGUCCAGCACGGAGCCCUGCCCACCAUGGGGAGGUGGCAGCUCCAGGCCCUGCCCCACGCCCAGGUGUGUGGCGAGGGCCAUCCUGCCAGAAGCUGGCCUGAGGGCUCUCCUUCACUUGGCACUACUUGCUGGCAUCCGCCCCGGCCUCCGCAGCCCCUGCGGGACUGUUCCUGCUGCUUGUCUCGUCUCCCACUGCCCUGCUGGCAGCCUGUGGAAGCUACAUAUGGAAAGGUCCCAGCAGAUGCUAUGGCAGCAUGGCUGGGGCUUCCCCCUCUGAAUCUGGGUCAAGUGCAGUCUGGUUCUGAGAGAAGACGGUUAGGAUGUUGGGAAAGUUGCUGCAUCUACUGGCUUCUCUACUCUUCCCGGAGACCCUGGCCACAGCCGCUCGACCUCCCGUGGUCACUGCUGUGGGUGUGGGCGUACUUUGGCUCCUUACACGCCACAUCCAGGCCCUCCUCAAGCAUCUCCCCUCCAACCUGCUCUCUCGGCCCACACGCUUCUCACCCACGGGCCUCCACCUACCACCAUCCACCCCAUCCCACUGCCCACUUCCCAGCCGCCCCUGCCCCAUCUGUUCCCCCAAGCCCCGCCUCUCAGACCUGAUCCUCUCUGGAGGGGACUGCCUCGGGGGACCAGGUAUUGCCUAGAGCCUUUGAGAAAUGCCCCUCCGGGGGCCUAGGGCAGCUCCAUGCUUGCCUGCUUCUUCCUCAGACACUUCUGGAAGCAAAGUGCCUAUCAGCAGCAUUGCAUCCUCUGGGGACCCCGGUGGGGAGUGUGGACUUGCCUUGGCCAUCACCACUAAAGCAAUGUGUCAGAACGCCGAACCUUCUUGUUACUAACGCUAUGACCGUGCCUUGAAUAAACAAGUCCUCCC
ensembl:lncRNA